GAUGAACGCUGGCGGCGUGCCUAACACAUGCAAGUCGAGCGAUUUACUUCGGUAAAGAGCGGCGGACGGGUGAGUAACGCGUGGGUAACCUGCCCUGUACACACGGAUAACAUACUGAAAGGUAUGCUAAUACGGGAUAACAUAAGAGAGUCGCAUGGCUUUCUUAUCAAAGCUUUUGCGGUACAGGAUGGACCCGCGUCUGAUUAGCUAGUUGGUAAGGUAACGGCUAACCAAGGCGACGAUCAGUAGCCGACCUGAGAGGGUGAUCGGCCACAUUGGAACUGAGACACGGGCCAAACUCCAGCGGGAGGCAGCAGUGGGGAAUAUUGCACAAUGGGCGAAAGCCUGAUGCAGCAACGCCGCGUGAGCGAUGAAGGCCUUCGGGUCGUAAAGCUCUGUCCUCAAGGAAGAUAAUGACGGUACUUGAGGAGGAAGCCCCGGCUAACUACGUGCCAGCCGCCGCAGUAA
rnacentral:rRNA from 1 species